AAUUUUUUUUAAUUUUAAUUAAAAUUUACCAAAUUUUGAAAACACCAUUUUCAUACUUUUAAAUUUUUUUAAACAAAUUUUUACUUAUGCUCUCUCUGCACACCGAGCUUUCUCAAGGUUCAAUGGAUUCUCAAAGCUCUCUCCAAAUUUUCUUCAGGGGCACCUGGGUCGAGGAGGCUUUUGCAGCUUCAUGAGGUUCAAACCAGGGAUCUUCUUCUUCUUCUUCUCUCUAAUGGUGUUUUCGUACCCAUUGUUAUUCAAGCUGAUAUUGAUUGCUCUCAAGGCAAGAGGGGCACUGAGAAGGUUCCUGUUUGCAACUUCCAAGAGGUAUUGAUAAUUAAGUUUUUAUUAUUGGGAACAAUGGUGAGGCUUCUGUUUGGACUCAAAGGCAUGUAGAAAUUUUCAUCGAACUUAUGGAAGAAUUUUUAAAGGGAAAUAAGAACUUAUGUAGACUUUAUUGAUUUUGUGUUAUCUCAUGAAUAUAUAUUAAGUUUUGAAAUUUGAGAUUACUUGGAUAUUAUUAAUAUGAUCUUUUUUUACUAUAA